AUUGAACGCUGGCGGCAGGCUUAACACAUGCAAGUCGAGCGAGCGGCGGACGGGUGAGUAAUGUCUGGGAAACUGCCUGAUGGUGGGGGAUAACUACUGGAAACGGUAGCUAAUACCGCAUACCAUCAGAUGUGCCCAGAUGGGAUUAGCUAGUAGGUGGGGUACUGGCUCACCUAGGCGACGUUCCCUAGCUGGUCUGCGAGGAUGACCAGCCACGGGAAGUGAGACACGGGCAAGACUCCUACGGGAGGCAGCAGUGGGGAAUAUUGCACAAUGGGGGCAAGCCUGAGACAGCCAUGCCGCGUGUGUGAAGAAGGCCUUCGGGUUGUAAAGCACUUUCAGCGAGGAGGCGUUACUCGCAGAAGAAGCACCGGCUAACUCCGUGCCAGCCGCCGCGGUAAUUC
rnacentral:rRNA from 1 species